rnacentral:rRNA from 1 species
UGGGGAAUAUUGGACAAUGGGCGCAAGCCUGAUCCAGCCAUGCCGCGUGAGGGAUGAAGGCCCUAGGGUUGUAAAGCUCUUUCACCGGUGAAGAUAAUGACGGUAACCGGAGAAGAAGCCCCGGCUAACUUCGUGCCAGCAGCCGCGGUAAUACGAAGGGGGCUAGCGUUGUUCGGAUUUACUGGGCGUAAAGCGCACGUAGGCGGACUAUUAAGUCAGGGGUGAAAUCCCGGGGCUCAACCCCGGAACUGCCUUUGAUACUGGUAGUCUUGAGUUCGAGAGAGGUGAGUGGAAUUCCGUGUGUAGAGGUGAAAUUCGUAGAUAUUCGGAGGAACACCAGUGGCGAAGGCGGCUCACUGGCUCGAUACUGACGCUGAGGUGCGAAAGCGUGGGGAGCAAACAGG